UACGGAGGGUGCAAGCGUUAUCCGGAAUCACUGGGUUUAAAGGGUGCGUAGGCGGCUUGGUAAGUCAGGGGUGAAAGCUUCCCGCUCAACGGGAGAACUGCCCUUGAUACUGCCAGGCUCGAAUUGGGUUGAGGCAGGCGGAAUGUGGCAUGUAGCGGUGAAAUGCUUAGAUAUGCCAUAGAACACCGAUUGCGAAGGCAGCCUGCCAAGCCUUGAUUGACGCUGAGGCACGAAAGCGUGGGGAGCGAACAGG
rnacentral:rRNA from 1 species